CCUUCGAUAGCUCAGUUGGUAGAGCGGAGAACUGUAGAUCCGUAGGUCGCUGGUUCGAAUCCGCCUCGAAGGA
rnacentral:tRNA from 1 species